UUGGUAGUUACUGGCUAUGGUACUCAUCA
rnacentral:piRNA from 1 species